UACGUAGGGGCCUAGCGUUGUCCGGAAUUAUUGGGCGUAAAGAGCUCGUAGGCGGUUCGGCAAGUCGGAUGUGAAAUCUCCACGCUUAACGUGGAGGGGCCAUUCGAAACUGCUGUGACUCGAGUCCGGUAGGGGAGUGUGGAAUUCCCGGUGUAGCGGUGAAAUGCGCAGAUAUCGGGAGGAAGGCCGGUGGCGAAGGCGGCGCUCUGGAACGUUUCUGACACUGAGGCUCGAAAGCGUGGGGAGCAAACAGG
rnacentral:rRNA from 1 species